rnacentral:rRNA from 1 species
AGUGAACGCUGGCGGUAGGCCUAACACAUGCAAGUCGAACGGCAGCACAGUAAGAGCUUGCUCUUACGGGUGGCGAGUGGCGGACGGGUGAGGAAUACAUCGGACUCUACUUUUUCGUGGGGGAUAACGUAGGGAAACUUACGCUAAUAUCGCAUACGACCUACUGGUGAAAGCAGGGGAUCUUCGGACCUUGCGCGAUUGAAUGAUCCGAUGUCGGAUUAGCUAGUUGGCGGGGUAAAGGCCCACCAAGGCGACGAUCCGUAGCUGGUCUGAGAGGAUGAUCAGCCACACUGGAACUGAGACACGGUCCAGACUCGUACGGGAGGCAGCAGUGGGGAAUAUUGGACAAUGGGCGCAAGCCUGAUCCAGCCAUACCGCGUGGGUGAAGAAGGCCUUCGGGUUGUAAAGCCCUUUUGUUGGGAAAGAAAAGCAGCAGGUUAAUACCCCGCUGUUCUGACGGUACCCAAAGAAUAAGCACCGGCUAACUUCGUG